rnacentral:rRNA from 1 species
CCUACGGGAGGCAGCAGUGAGGAAUAUUGGUCAAUGGGCGCGAGCCUGAACCAGCCAAGUCGCGUGAGGGAUGAAGGUUCUAUGGAUCGUAAACCUCUUUUAUAAGGGAAUAAAGUGUGGGACGUGUCCUGUUUUGUAUGUACCUUAUGAAUAAGGAUCGGCUAACUCCGUGCCAGCAGCCGCGGUAAUACGGAGGAUCCGAGCGUUAUCCGGAUUUAUUGGGUUUAAAGGGUGCGUAGGCGGCCUUUUAAGUCAGCGGUGAAAGUCUGUGGCUAAACCAUAGAAUUGCCGUUGAAACUGGGAGGCUUGAGUAUGUUUGAGGCAGGCGGAAGGCGUGGUGUAGCGGUGAAAUGCUUAGAUAUCACGCAGAACCCCGAUUGCGAAGGCAGCCUGCCAAGCCAUGACUGACGCUGAUGCACGAAAGCGUGGGGAUCAAACAGGAUUAGAUACCCUAGUAGUC